AGAACGAACGCUGGCGGCAGGCCUAACACAUGCAAGUCGAACGCUCGUAGCAAUACGGGAGUGGCAGACGGGUGAGUAACACGUGGGAACCUUCCCUAUGGUUCGGAAUAGCUCAGGGAAACUUGGGGUAAUACCGAAUAAGCCCUUCGGGGGAAAGAUUUAUCGCCAUUGGAUGGGCCCGCGUCGGAUUAGCUAGUUGGUGGGGUAACGGCCUACCAAGGCGACGAUCCGUAGCUGGUCUGAGAGGAUGAUCAGCCACACUGGGACUGAGACACGGCCCAGACUCCUACGGGAGGCAGCAGUGGGGAAUAUUGGACAAUGGGCGCAAGCCUGAUCCAGCCAUGCCGCGUGAGUGACGAAGGUCUUCGGAUUGUAAAACUCUUUUGGCGGGACGAUAAUGACGGUACCCGCAGAAUAAGCCCGGCUAACUUCGUGCCAGCAGCCGC
rnacentral:rRNA from 1 species